AUUGAACGCUGGCGGCAGGCCUAACACAUGCAAGUCGAACGAGUGGCGGACGGGUGUGUCAUGUCUGGGAAACUGCCUGAUGGAGGGGGAUAACUACUGGAAACGGUAGCUACUACCGCAUACCAUCGGAUGUGCCCAGAUGGGUUUAGCUAGUAGGUGGGGUAACGGCUCACCUAGGCGACGAUCCCUAGCUGGUCUGAGAGGAUGAUCAGCCACACUGGAACUGAGACACGGUCCAGACUCCUACGGGAGGCAGCAGUGGGGAAUAUUGCACAAUGGGCGCAAGCCUGAUGCAGCCAUGCCGCGUGUGUGAAGAAGGCCUUCGGGUUGUAAAGCACUGUCAGCGGGGAGGCGUUACCCGCAGAAGAAGCACCGGCUAACUCCGUGCCAGCAGCCGCGGUAAUUC
rnacentral:rRNA from 1 species